CGGAACGGGUGAGUAACGCGUGAGGAACCUGCCUCAAAGAGGGGGACAACAGUUGGAAACGACUGCUAAUACCGCAUAAGCCCACGGGUCGGCAUCGACCUGAGGGAAAAGGAGCAAUCCGCUUUGAGAUGGCCUCGCGUCUGAUUAGCUAGUUGGUGAGGUAACGGCCCACCAAGGCGACGAUCAGUAGCCGACCUGAGAGGGUGACCGGCCACAUUGGGACUGAGACACGGCCCAG
rnacentral:rRNA from 1 species